rnacentral:lncRNA from 1 species
GUCAAGUCCUUCUUUUGACCCAUUUUGCCAAAGGAAAGGAAGUUGCCUAAUAAUUAUGCACACCUGAUAUAGGGUGUUGAUGUCAUUAGACCACACCCCUUCUCAUUACAGAGAUGCACAUCACCUAAUAUGCUUAAUUGGUAGUAGGCUUUCGAGCCUAUACAGCUUGGAGUAAGACAACAUGCAUAAAGAGGAUGAUGUGGUCAAAAUACUCAUUUGCCUAAUAAUUCUGCACUCCCUGUAUUGUGUC